CUCGUUAGAUCUUAAACAUUUCUUAAAUAUCGUAAGCAUUUCUUAAAAUACCAUGUUCCCAUAGGUUGACAGAGUAGUUACUGCAUGAACAUUAUAUAAUUGAUAAUUAUAGUGAAACAAUUAACCUGAUUUUGUAUGUUUGUUGGAUGAUUUUGCGUAUUGCUGUCAAAUUCUUUUCAUCUCCAAAUAAAUUUCAUCCAAAUAAAUAUUGGAAUAGGACCUCGGUUCUAUUAUGUUGGUUUUCGGACUGCGAGGUAAUGAUACAAAGGGGCAGGCGGGGGCAUUCGUAUUGUGCCGUUAGAGGUGAAAUUCUUGGAUUGGCGCAAGACAAAUGACUUCGUAUCUAUACCGGUCAAGCAUUUAGUCAGUUUCCUUCAGGACACGGGCCGAUUUGACCGCUAUAUCUCGGAUCCAUGACAGCUCGGGGCGCUGGAGUAAUGGGCCUUCCAUGGCCUAAAUUCCUGGUCCCGGUAGCUACUAUGGACCCGCCCAUAUUAAUGUAAUGUAAUGUAAAAUGACAAAUGACUGCGAAAGCAUUUGCCAAGAAUGUUUUCUUUAAUCAAGAG
rnacentral:ncRNA from 1 species